GGUUACAUCUAUUUUGAAACAUUGGUUCCUGUUUGAUCACCAAAGUUAAGCAACAUUGAGCCUGGUCAGUAACUAGAUGGAUGACCGCUUGGCAAUAACAGGUGCUGUAAU
rnacentral:rRNA from 1 species